rnacentral:lncRNA from 1 species
AAGCACAUGGGUGUGUGUUUAAACUUCACUCCUGACAGAAGCUGGAAGUUACAGCAGAGUCAUAAGUAAAUCUGCAGGGAUGUCACGCAGGUGAGAUGGAGACCUGGGCCCAGGUAGGUGGAUGGGCCAGCUGCAGACACAGCUCCAAAGACAGGGGCCGUGGGUGCUGUCAUGGAGGGAGGUGGUGGGCGGACCAGUGCUCUGAAUUAGAGGAGCAAUCAGAGGCCAAAGCCGGUAAGGAGGCUCUCCUGCUGCCUUUCCCGCAGCCAGCCCUGGAAACAGAGGUACAGGUACCAAGUGGUUGGAAAGAUGACUGGGUACAAGGCCAUCUUGGGCAUCUACAGGAGUUGACAGCAGAGUCACAGGUAAGAUUCUCCCUCAAAGUGGAAAAAAACCCAGCCCCCGUUUUGCUAGAGCUUCCACACUUUCCUGUCUUUCCCCAAGGGCACAAGGUGGGUUUGAAGUUGUGCUGCCUUUGUGUGUAAGCAUCAGGGGAUUAGGCAGUGGUUCAAAGCUCACCUGGGAAAGAGCAAGAGGAAAGCUUGGCCUCACCUCAAUGUCGCCAUUUGACACCAAACGCUAUGUUCACCAGCGCUAUGUGGUGCUAGGUUCAGCUGUCUGAACAAGGGUUCCUGUGGCCACAGCAAAAGCGUGAUCAAUGAUGGUCAGACUGAACAGGGUACCAGCCCCUGAGUGAGUUCACUGCAGCUUCAGGAAAACCCUCCCCGGUCACCGACUGCUUCCGGGAAGCGCAGGUUUUCCUCUCAUGAGAAAUGAGCAGUUCCUAGGCCUGCAAAGGUCAAGAGCAAAUGCCUCAAAGUCACAACUCUGUCAGUCACCUCAGGGACACUGCCUGUGGGUGCAUGUUCAAGCAAACCAACAUAUUCCUCAGAUUCACCCAUCCUGACUUUCAGGCGGUCCUCUGGGGUGACAGCUCUCCCCACUGAAACAAGGCCUUGCUCCCCUCCCAGUGACCACACAGCACCCCGGUCCACGGCCCCCACCCACAUGAGCCAGCUGUGUCCUGCCACACCGGCUGCAAUCAUACCCUUCGUGAUGGGAGGUGACAGAGCAUCUGUUCCUGCUUCAUAGGGCUUUCCUAUUUCCUCUGAUGUUGAAAUUUAAUGGAAAUAAACAUUAGCAAAGAUUAAAGACACAAGUCAACAAAGCCACACAGCAAGGAACCAAAACAAUGUUGCUCCUCCUUGACGUGGACACGCUGACACCCUGUCUGGAGUGGAGGGACACAUGUGCAGACUCCAGUUUGCACUUUCAAAGUGGGGGGUACAGCAAGGAGGCUGGUGGCCAGGGACCACGUUUCUAUCCGGAGAACCCAAUACAAGCCAGGCUCACUGACAUAACUCCUGCUCUGCGCAAAAAAAGACACUCCAGGAACAAAGAGAGAAGGGAGAAGUUAAUGGGUGGCUUUGGCAAAGAGUCCAAAGUAAAGUGUGACUGCGGGCGCAAGGCUGCACUGCGGGAACCAUGACCUUCCUCACCUACUGAGGGCCGACUGCCCACAGGGACUGUGAGGCCAAGUGUGCACUUGCAACUGUAUGUGUGAUUACACAUGGAAUCUUGCAUUAUACAUAAAAUAGUAUACAUGGCAUACAAUAACAUGUCACAUGCAUAUUUAUAACCAUAACUAGAUGAUUAGACGAUAUUGGCUCUAUUGUUAUAUACUCAGAAAAGGAUAAUUUAAACAUUAAUACACUAUCAACGUGAUCUGCAGGGUGCUGAAUCCCUUGGUCCUAUCACCAUCUGAUGCACAUGAACGGAGCCUGUGGCUGAGUCACAGCGUCUCCAGGGGGCUGCUUGCUGCCUAUCUCUAUAGAUACCCGUCCCGCCCAAAUCAGCAGGGCCAUGUUCCUGGGUUUUGGCUCUGUCGCCUCGUGAGCACAUGGAGCGAGUGUGGCUUGGAGCUUGAGGGGAACAAGAGGCAGAGCCCAGACUGUGUGUCCUUGUCCCCACAAGGACAAAGGAGUGAGUAAAGAGGCCGUAGUCACUUCCACAGGGAAACAGAAGGAACCUCUUUAGACCACUCCUCCAGCGGGAACCUACCCUGAUCCAUCCUGCCUUCUGCCUCUUGUUCGAACACCCAGGACCCAGAGUGCAGGCCUGACAGGGCUGCCAGGAGCUCCAGGGGAUGACGGGCACCAGCACAUGGGGUGGCGGAUGCAUGGUCCCCCCGCUGGCAACACUGCUCCAUCCUCUCGGUGGCCAGGAUGCUGAACUCCAGAGGCUACAUAACCACAUGUGUGACCCACAUGGGUGACAAAGGCUGGACACACAGCCUGACCCCACAUGCCACAGCAACGGGUGGCCAAUCAGCCCUCACUGGAUUCACUCUGCCUGCCAAGGGCAACCUGCAGGCACAGGAGGGCGCCACCCGCUCAGAGCGCCCAGCAUUGCUCCCAGGAGCAAUGACACUGGGCCACAAGCCUCCCUGGAUGUGGGUGUGUCCACUGUGACCCUGGCUCGGUCCUCAAGGACAGUUUGCUGUUGGUCAGGUCCCAGCGCAGGGAGACACACGUGAGGACAACUUUCACCAGCAGGAAUGUGUCAGGUGCCAAAUGUGUCAGGGUAUUCCACGGAGCUCCCUGUUGCAGGAGGACAGGAGUUCUGUUCACAAACAGCGGCGGCCUCGACUUUCCAGCUGAACUCUUGGUGGACGAGCACAGAUUCAGGGAACCGGAGCCACGCGGUGUGCAGGGCCUCCCUUGGGAAAGGCACCAGCGCCCACGUCUCACCUCUGCGCAGGUGAGAAUCCUGCAGGUGAGGAUGUGCCUGCACAGGGCUGUGGGGCUCAGCCUCAGUGUCCUCAGAAAGGUCUUCACACUUAACAUGGAUGCGCAGACCUGGAGCCGUGAGGCAGGUGGUGAAGGGUGCCAGGCUGAUCUCAGGGGAAAUCCGAAUAGAUUCUGCACUUCAGCGGGAACUCUACUAUUAUCUGACGACUUCAGAGGAGAAUGGAACCUCCCUUCGCAGGAGACAAGAGAGACUUUCAUUGAUUUCCUUCUCUGUAUCCCCCAAACAGGUCAGUUGGCGGGCACAGGCCCCCAAGCUGCGUCUUGCUGCACGCGUGCCCGCCCCCGACACCAGGUGUGCAGAUGCAACGAUCGAGUGUGGAGAUUAGUCACAUACGCAUUCCCCCAGGGCAGCACUUUUCCUUCUUCCUAGAUUUCCUGAAGGUCUCCCAGCCCUGGCCUCUGUGUCAGCCUGGGGCCCUGCUCAGUGUCCUCGGCCCCCAUCUAACCCACAAGGCUGGUUCUCAGGAGUAAUGAGUCCACUGAAGGAAGCUGCUGCUCAGCGAAGCCCCCAAACCAGCGACGGGUAGGGAGUCCAUUUCCGUGAUUAUCACAAUGAGCUUAAAAUUCACUGGACCCCAGUUUUAAGCAUUAGUUCCAUCUGAGUCAUGGUUGACUCCGGUCUCAGAAAAGCAGGCUGAGCUUCCUGCUGGGCAGCCGUGGGCCAGGACAGCCCAUAAUUCCAUCAGACCCACAGAAGCCCCUGGAGCAUGACAGUCACAAUAGCCACAGCCCAGUGGCCAAUGCUGCAUCCACUUCCCUUUCCUCCCAUGGAGCCCACAGGCCAAAGGGGCACAAGGACAGGGCUCUCUGAAAAGACUGUGUAUCUGACGAGCCGCACUGGGGGACCUGACUCAACCAGUACAAGGGUGGCUCUCUUCCUUGGGACUCUCUCUCCCUGGCCAAGCACUUCACAAUAAAUCUCACAGAACCAAAACCUCAGAGUGAUUUAUUUCUGCAAAUUUGGCACAUCUGCCAUUGUUGUUGUGCUGUAUUGUCACGUGUGUCAGGAGGCCUUUGUGAGUCUUUAUUUUUUUCUUCAAAACUUAUAAGCUACCUCAAACCAUUAUGCAUUCAAGGAAAACUAUGAAACCAUACUUUCUUUAGCAGAGACUUUUUUUCCCCCAACUGAUUAAAUUGUUCUACGAUGUCAGCAGGGGACUUAAUGUUACAAGAAAGAAUAAAAUAAUCGAAAAAUAAACACCAGAAAUUGCACAGACAUUUCUCACAAAUGUUCCAUAAAAAUGUCAGCAUAACAGUGAUUCAUGAUGAAAAGAGGAGCCAUCAGACCGUCCAUUCCUCCAAACAGAUUCCCUGACCCGGAAGGUGCCCCCUCCCUACAGGUUCACGGCAGGGGGGCGGUGACACCCCCCUCCAGCAGAAAUCACAUCAAAGGGCAUCCGUGGCCCUGGCUGGAGACAGUGGAGCCGAGACCUCCAACCUCUGACCUCCGACCUCCCAGGCCUGGGCAUCUGCAGGGCAGUGGAAGGAGUGAGGGGGUUCAGGCAUCUGUUUAAAGAGACAAAGACCUAAUACUGACCCACAUCCAGGAGCUGCAGGGAGGAAGGGCACCCCCUCCUCAGACUCACCCUGGACAACGGUCACGGGCACCUGGGGUGCCCCCAGCACAUCCCCACACCCAGCCGACGUCCUCCUAGCAGAUUACAGAGAAAACCAAAGCCUCGGCCAUGACUCAAUCUGGUUUUUUGGCCAUGCCCAUGGCAUGUGGGAGUUCCUGGGCCAGGGAUCGAACCCACGCCGCCACAGUAACAACACAAGAUCCUUAAUCCACUGUGCCACCAGGGGACCCUUGAUGUGGAACUGAAGUGUGUUCCUUCAUAGUUCAGAUUCUUUACACUAAAUACCACAUGUGAUUCUCAGAUUACUGUAUUGUUUAUAUUCUGACCAUUUUAAACCCACUUGGUUUCCCCUCGACUUACUUGUCUCCAAUAACAAAGCAAGUGAGAGAGCUGCAUGUUUUUCUUCAAUGGUCAUCAUGACUGACUUUAUUGAAAUGGGCGCUCCUUUCCCUCAGGUAAGCUCUCCCAUCACCGUCCUGUGUCACAAUCCAGCCUCUGCUCGAUUCACAGCUGCUACAAACAGGUGUCCAGUGAGUUCAGACUCCUACCCAGACGUCCAUGUGCAGUGACCACUACGCAAACUCGAGUUUCUAACGUGGACUUGGCCUGUGUGUGCCCGAGGAGGCCCUGCUCCUGUGCCUCCCGCGGGGACUCGGCUGUGCCAGCCUUUGAUGCCAGCUACACAGAACACUUUUGAUGACCAGACUCAGAUGCUCAGGACUACCUCUCACUCUGCCUGCAAACAUUUAGGCCACCUUUGCACUGACGGUCCUCUCUCUUACUGUACUUAGGAAUGCCUGUGACAUCCAGGCCCUGGGCUCACGAUGGUCGGUUUCAAUAUUAAUAGAUCAUCCACGGCCCUCGCCAGGAGGGCCCUGUGCAUGGUGGGAAACCCAGAGGUGCUUACAAAGAGCCUGAGCAAAACACGUGAGGGUAAGACCGACCUUCCCGUGACUGCUGUUACCGACCAUUCACACAACCAAGCUACGCUUGUGGGCUGAGCACAAGACCCUAUUACUUUUCAAGUACCUGGAGGAACACAUCAGAUAAAAACAAAUCCAUUAAGAUACUAGACAACUGUAGACACGCUCACCAGAGGUCUAUUUCUGCUGUAACCCUGAGGACAAUAUAAUAUUUUUUCCAGUGAAAACUCCACAGUGUUACCAGUCUGUACUUACUUACCUGGUUGCCAGAAUUAGGUUUCAAAAAUGAACGCAAGGAGAACACAAAAUCAAGGCUGGUCUUGCAGAAAAAUGACAGCGGUGACGUGCCCUGGGCAAGUUGAGUCCCGAAGGAUCAACGUGGGCUCUGCGCUUCUCCACGUGGCCACCUGGCUCCGUGUCCCUUCUGGGCAGGCCCCUCCAUAUGGAAACAUAAGUCAAACCAGGGAUGCCACGGGAAUCUCUCUGAGAACAGAGUUGUUUCCUCGAAACUGGCGAGUGGAUGAAAGUGACCCAAAGCAAAAAGCACACACACUGUCCCUCUCAGUUUACAAUUAAAAAUAAUCACCAAAGAGUCCCUUCACUGAGAAAAAGCCUCCAAGGCCAGAGAAGAUCUCAGCCCUUAGAAAACCUGAGGUCAAGAACCAAGCUUAC